GCAAAUGCAGAGAGCGUUGGGGCGGUAUGAUGUGGGAGGCAAGGGUUAACUGGAAGAAUAGGGCGGAAAGAGGCAGUAGGGGAGGAGGCUAGAAUGCGGUCAAAGGGAGGGGCGUAAACCUGGAAAGGCCGGUGAAAAGAGCGGGUUAGAGUGAAGUAGAGGUAGAGGGAAUGCGUGGUGGAGCGGUGAAAUGCGUAUAGCUCGGGAAGAACAGCGGUGGCGAAAGCGCUCUACUGGACGGCAACUGACACUCAGGGACGAAAGCUAGGGGAGCGAAUGGGAUUAGAUACCCUGGUAUUC
rnacentral:rRNA from 1 species